UACGUAGGGGGGCAAGCGUUGUCCGGAUUUAUUGGGCGUAAAGAGCUCGUAGGCGGUUCAGUAAGUCGGGUGUGAAAACUCUGGGCUCAACCCAGAGACGCCACCCGAUACUGCUGUGACUUGAGUACGGUAGGGGAGUGGGGAAUUCCUGGUGUAGCGGUGAAAUGCGCAGAUAUCAGGAGGAACACCAGUGGCGAAGGCGCCACUCUGGGCCGUAACUGACGCUGAGGAGCGAAAGCGUGGGUAGCAAACAGG
rnacentral:rRNA from 1 species